GAUGAACGCUAGCGACAGGCCUAACACAUGCAAGUCGAGGGGCAGCACAAAGUAGCAAUACUUGGUGGCGACCGGCGCACGGGUGAGUAACACGUAUGCAACCUACCUGUAAGCGGGGAAUAACCCGGAGAAAUUCGGACUAACACCGCAUAAUACUGAAUUACUGCAUGGUUUUUCAGUUAAAUAUUUAUAGCUUACAGAUAGGCAUGCGUAUGAUUAGAUAGUUGGUAGGGUAACGGCCUACCAAGUCAACGAUCAUUAGGGGUUCUGAGAGGAAGGUCCCCCACACUGGUACUGAGACACGGACCAGACUCCUACGGGAGGCAGCAGUGAGGAAUAUUGGUCAAUGGGCGAGAGCCUGAACCAGCCAAGUCGCGUGAAGGAAGAAGGUUCAUGGAUUGUAAACUUCUUUUGUAAGGGAAUAAAAAGGUACGUGUACUCUAUUGUAUGUACUUUACGAAUAAGGAUCGGCUAACUCCGUGCCAGCAGCCGCGGUAAAACGUGCGUG
rnacentral:rRNA from 1 species